rnacentral:rRNA from 1 species
GAUCCUGGCUCAGGACGAACGCUGGCGGCGUGCUUAACACAUGCAAGUCGAACGAGAAUCUGUGGAUCGAGGAUUCGUCCAAGUGAAGCAGAGGACAGUGGCGGACGGGUGAGUAACGCGUGAGGAACCCUGCCUUUCAGGAGGGGGACAACAGUUGGAAACGACUGCUAAUACCGCAUGAUACAUUUGGGUGGCAUCAUCUGAAUGUCAAAGAUUUAUCGCUGAAAGAG